rnacentral:rRNA from 1 species
UAUAAUUUAAAGUAUGGCCUGCCCACUGAAAAUUUUGAAGGGCCGCAGUAUUUUGACUGUGCAAAGGUAGCAUAAUCAUUAGUUUUUUAAUUGAAAGCUGGAAUGAAUGGUUUAAUGAAAAAAUGACUGUCUCAAUUUAAUUUUUUUAGAACUUUAUUUUUAAGUUAAAAAGCUUAAAUAAAUUUAAAAGACGAGAAGACCCUAUAGAGUUUAAUUAUUAAGAAAAUAAAUUAAUUUAUAGAAAUUAUUUUAUUUAUUUUUUAAAUAAUUUGGUUGGGGUGACUAAAAAAUUAAAUAAACUUUUUUUAAUUUAUUACAUAGAUUAAUG